rnacentral:rRNA from 1 species
AACGAACGCUGGCGGCAUGCCUAACACAUGCAAGUCGAACGAGACCUUCGGGUCUAGUGGCGCACGGGUGCGUAACGCGUGGGAACCUGCCCUUAGGUUCGGAAUAACUCCCCGAAAGGGGUGCUAAUACCGGAUAAUGUCUUCGGACCAAAGAUUUAUCGCCUUUGGAUGGGCCCGCGUUGGAUUAGCUAGUUGGUAGGGUAAAAGCCUACCAAGGCGACGAUCCAUAGCUGGUCUGAGAGGAUGAUCAGCCACACUGGGACUGAGACACGGCCCAGACGCCUACGGGAGGGAGCAGUGGGGAAUAUUGGACAAUAGGCGAAAGCCUGAUCCAGCAAUGCCGCGUGAGUGAUGAAGGCCUGAGGGUUGUAAAGCUCUUUUACCCGGGAUGAUAAUGACAGUACCGGGAGAAUAAGCUCCGGCUAACUACGUG